CAAAGACAGACAAGACAGACUUGAGUUCUGCCUUCAUGGAGUAGGCGGUCUGGUACAGACAAAGAAGUAAACAGACAGACGUAAUCCAAAGGGGUAUGUGUACCAUCAGUGCGGGCGCGGUGAUUCAUGCCUGUAAUCCCAGAACUUUGGGAGGCCAAGGCAGGCAGAUCACCUGAGGUCAGAAUUUUGAGACCAGCCUGACCAACAUGGCGAAACCCUAUCUCUACUCACAAAAUUAGCCGGGUGUGGUGGCACACGCCUAUAAUCCCAGCUACUCCGGAGGCUGAGUCAGAAGAAUUGCUUGAACCUGGGAGGCGGAGGUUGUGGUGAGACGAGAUCAUGCUAUUGCACUCUAGCCUGGGCAACAAGAGCAAACUCCGUCUCAAAAAACAAACAAACAAACAAACAAACAAACAAACAAAAAAGAGACGAUUCAAGGAGAAAAUGAAUUCAGUUUUAAAACACUAUGAUUUUGAGUGGUCUGUAGAACAUCCCAGAGAUCAGUUACGUAUAUAGCUCUGAAACCUAAGAGAGAAUUCCAGGCUGGACGUCCAAAUAUGGGACUCCCUGGGAUAGAAACUAUAGCUGGUGCACAUUUAGGUGAGAAUUAUAGAACAAGAAGAUACAAGGGCCUGGUACA
rnacentral:lncRNA from 1 species